rnacentral:rRNA from 1 species
AUUGAACGCUGGCGGGAGGCAUAACACAUGCAAGUCGAACGAGUGGCGGACGGGUGAGUAAUGUCUGGGAAAAUGCCUGGUGGCGGGGGCUAACUACUGGAAACGGUAGCUAAUACCGCAUACCAUCGGAUGUGCCCAGAUGGGAUUAGCUAGUAGGGGGGGUAAAGGCUCACCUAGGCGACGAUCCGUAGCUGGUUUGAGAGGAUGACCAGCAACACUGGGAAUGAGACACGGCCAAGACGCCUACGGGAGGCAGAAGUGGGGAAUAUUGGACAAUGGGGGAAACCCGGAUCCAGCCAUGCCGAGGGUAUGAAGAAGGCCUUCGGGUUGUAAAGUACUUUCGGCGGGGAAGCGUUACCCGCAGAAGAAGCACCGGCUAACUCCGUGCCAGCAGCCGCGGUAAUUC